rnacentral:rRNA from 2 species
UGUAAGAAGCGAACGCAGGGAACUGAAACAUCUAAGUACCUGCAGGAAAGGACAUCAACCGAGACUCCGCAAGUAGUGGCGAGCGAACGCGGACCAGGCCAGUGGCAAUUGUGUUUAAAGCGGAACAAUCUGGAAAGUUUGGCCGUAGCGGGUGACAGCCCCGUACGCGUAGAUAGCAUGAUUGUCCUAGAGUAGGGCGGGACACGAGAAAUCCUGUCUGAACAUGGGGAGACCACUCUCCAAGCCUAAGUACUC